rnacentral:tRNA from 1 species
GUCCUCUUCGUCUAGUGGUUAGGACAUCGCCCUUUCACGGCGGCAACAGGGGUUCAAAUCCCCUAGAGGACA